AGCCUUGUUGCUGCUCUUGUCUGCAUGUGAUCAUCCAGAGCAAGACUAGAGGAAAUCAAGAGAAGACUGCUGGAAUACCUUCCAUCUUCUCCCUACGUACCAGAAACUUGAUCUUCUGACAAUGUGCAAGGCUGGGUAACUGCUCGAGGCAGACCAGUGCGCUGGGAUAGCCCGGAGGACACGCUCUCUCCUGUGCUCUAGCACAGGAAGAGCUGUGGGAAACCUGAAGAAAUCUGGGAUUAGAGCUCUGAGGAAAAUUUCCUUCCCAGCAGCUUUUCCCCAGCAGAAAAAGGCCGCUUUUGUCAAGAGACCCUGACGUGUGACACAUCUGUGCAGUGCUAAAAAAAGGGGGGAAAGCAUAUGGAAGCCAAAACUCCAGAAUUAUUCCCCCCACCCCGUCCCUCUGCCUAUUAAUCAGCAAAAGGGAAAUCUAUAGAAUUGUGAGCAUAUGGGGUGAAAAAUAAUAACAAGGUGAAUAAAGUGAAAUGAU